UGUGUUAUUUAACAUUUAACGUCCACCACCCAAUUAUAAUGAACGGCCAUGGAAACUAAAGAUAUUACAAAAAAUAAGUACUCAAUAAGCACGAGCUAAAGCAAUGGCAAUGACGUCUGCCCGUCUACCCAAUCACCAUCCAUCCAUCCAACCAGUUCGAACCUGUUCAGUUUCAACCGUUGAAACUUCAAACUUUCCGGACGCGCAACGUGUAGCAGUUGGGUGGUUGGGUCAUGGCGGCUGUAUUCCACUGGUUGUUAUACGAAAAUAUUUCGAAGUUCUAAUCUCCCGCGCGUUUUGUCUUGCAAUUUUUGAGCAUAGCGAGAACGUACGCCGUGCUGUCCAGUGAUAAAAGCUGUUGAGCGCAGCAGAGCUCCCAGAGUACUGUGGUGGACAGCGUUUCUUUGUUCUCUGGCUUUCAAGUUUAAGGGGUGAGUUCACUCUUCAUUAAAGUAUGUGCCUGUUUCUGUGCACCAAAUCGCAUGUAGUAGAGAUGCGUGGCAUAAUAUCGGAAUAUCGUUUCCUUUAUUUCGGCUUCGUAUCACCGAUUCAAACAUAUUGGAAGUGUGGGUUGAUCUGACUGCACUUGCAUUCAAAGUAGUAAUUAACGUUGUAUGUUCGGCAGUACAACGUUUCAUUAAGUGCCUUGGUUCGUCUUGGCGCUGAAACAACUACGGUAUCACUAAUUAACCAUCGAGAUUAACGAGUUUUCGAUGACUGUUGGUCUUGAGUAAACGAAAGUCGACAGUUACGGUUUGCAGGGCGGACGUGCCGGAACAUAAAUGUUCGUUAGUUCAUUGUCAUGGCAGCCCGACAUCCGUUGUUGCGUUUUUCGCUGGUAGUGAAACUACACACUGAAAAUUUUGCGCAAGUACUUUUGUUUGCAUAUCAUGGUUUCAUAGCAACUGGAUUUUUCUGUUUAUAGGUGCUUGGACUAUCUUGCAUCGGUGGAUAUGAAAAUAGUGGUAACCUACCCUACGAAACAGCUAUUUUCACAUAAGCUUAACGGUUCCCUGUGAGAUGCUGUGAAAGUCAGCAGGGAAGUGCGAUGUAGAAGAACCGACUGCCAGAAGCCUGCUAAGGAACCGCACAACAUGUGUGGGCAGGAGACAAAAUAUUCAUCAAACCGUACAAAACUAGUAUUUUUGUGCUUGGUCGUUUCGAAACACCCUUGGUAUUGUAUGGAGAACAGCGUGACUAUGUCAUUCCGUCUUACUUUACCCAAACAGCUAUCUGGCAAUAGUGCAAGAUCUGAGUUCCUAAAAGGUUUAUUCAUUGAAGUCACCUCAGCGCCAUGCUAUAGGUCCCUCAAUGUUAAGCCCUUGCAUUUGUUCGCCGCAUUAUGGUUUUUAGGUGACUAUUAACACCAAAAAUAUGGAAAUUGCUCGGGUAUUCUACAAAUCACAGAGCAACAAGUUUUAAGCACCAGAUAUACGGUGAGUAUAAUAUGGGUAACAGCUUGACUGAAAUCUACAAUAGGGCAGAGAUCUACAAAGGCCAAUGGCAGCAAAUCUGCCUGCUAGCGACAGUGGCGGUCUCCUGCGGAUGACGUCAUGUGAAUAAACCUUAUAAUAUUUGACAUGGUGAUACAGCUCUUGCUUUGUAUUGUCUUUUAUAGUAUACACAGUGUUUAUUUUUAUCCUGUACAGAAUUUUUGCAUCAAAGUUAUGAGAGCAGCACAGAUGUUGUUUUAGCGUAAUGCAGUGCUGGAAGAGCUGCGCCAAUCAUGGAGUGCUCAGCAGUCCCCUGCUCGACCAGCCACAGUGAGUCAUUGGUGGCGGUGCUGCAGCAUCAACAUUGGAAGAAAGGAAUGAGGUGGCCAUCAACACCCUGCUGCCAGUUCAACACUCCUCAGUCAAAACACAAGACGCCUUCUUGGCGGCAAAGUCAAUCCAGUUUUAGACGGAGUUUUGUACCGUAGACUUCGUGUGUGGUUUACUGCCAAUAAAUGUUUAUGCUGA